CUCGUAUGCACUACGGAGAAAUUCUUCUUAAAUUGUUGGCCGGAAUUGUAGUGAUCCGCGACACAAAGAAGUUCUAUCCUCCAGGUGGCGCUAUAAUUUGGUUACAUAUCACAGUAAUCAAGAACUUUAACUCUGCCAAAUAUUUUGGCGCGAAAGAAGGAGCAAAGUAAAUAAGUAAUGGUAAAAAUUUUGUACCAUUCCAGUCGAAAAAAUAUAAAAU
rnacentral:lncRNA from 1 species